GCUGAGGGACUUCCGUAUCGAGCCCCGCCCCUUCCGUCUGCAUGAAGCCUGUCGUUUGGACACUCGCAGUCCAGGAGAAAUGUUAGUGCCUGGGCCCUAGAUACUUAUUGUAACAUGGCUCAGCCGGCCACCUAGUGGGCAGCAUCCUUCUCAUGGAGUGCACCAAACAGCGCUCAUUUACUAAACUCCUGUAUGGCUACUGAAGGGUGAAUGAUUAGCUACUAGAGAGAAUAAGGAUUCAAUGGAAUUCAGAUUCCUGUGUACAGAACACGCUAAAGGAAUUUACGCCAGUGGAUGUAAAGGACCAAAUGUUCGAGACUUGAGCGAAUGAGCAUCUCUGGCAUACUGAAGCUUGGGGAAGGAGAGGCUCACCCAGACGGUGCCUUUUCGUGGAGCAGUAAAGUAGGCCUUAAAACCAAGGUAACCAGCAUCGAUGUAAUGAAUUCCACAGAGUCCGUAACUAUAAAAGAAAGAGAUAAAAUAAACUGUACUUCUCCGAAGAGUAAGUUCUUUUCUUACAGAAUUCAAAAUAACCCAGAAUCCAACCCUCCUUUCUCCAGUUUGUGCCCCAACCCUUAGGGCCUGUCCCCAGAACUCAUAUCUUCAUCUUGCCGUACG